UACAGAGGUCUCAAGCGUUGUUCGGAUUCAUUGGGCGUAAAGGGUGCGUAGGUGGCGCCGUAAGUCAGGGUGUGGAAAUUUCGGAGCUUAACUCCGAAACUGCAUUUGAUACUGCGGUGCUUGAGGACUGGAGAGGAGACUGGAAUUCACGGUGUAGCAGUGAAAUGCGUAGAUAUCGUGAGGAAGACCAGUGGCGAAGGCGGGUCUCUGGGCAGUAACUGACGU
rnacentral:rRNA from 1 species